AUAUCAAAUGCAAGGAUUAUUAUUUAUUAUUACUGUACCCAUCUGCGCUAAACGAUGGGGAGAUAUGGUGAGUGGGUCAACAUUCUCGUUAUUAAAAUGUCGUGAGCAAAGAAAAAAAAUGCUGACAAAGUGGAUCGCCCCACUUAGGAGAAAACUACAACUCUAACUUUGUAAUUGACUUAAAAUAACUACUCAAGCGACCCAUCUCCGCAAUGUCUACCUGGGAGAACGCCUUAUGUGGGAAUGAAGACAGGUCACCAGAAACGCCUAAAAUACAAGUUUUCCGCGAGAAUGACAAGAGCGACACUGAAUUUCUGCUCGUCUGCCUGAUCACUGGCUUUUACCCCGAUGUUAUCAAAGUUUACUGGAAACCCGAUGGCGAGCAGAGUAAAUGGGAAACAGAUCCCGUUGAGAAGGAGAAUGGUGAAACAUCUUAUGUGAUUAGCCGUUUUAAUGUCACACAACUUCAGUGGAAAAAUUCUAAAGUCAUAUGCGGGGUGCAACAUGAAUCUUCAAAAGAUAACAUAGAAGUCCACGCCAACGGGAAGAAGACAUCUCCCAAAGAAAGUGAACCCUCAACUAAUGCAAAGUCUAAAAGCUGUAAUGGGACACGGAAUGAAGACAAAGACGACCUAACUAUAAACUCAUUCCAACUGACCACCUUCACUUACACCCUACUGCUGAUGAAAAGCGUGGUGUAUUGUGGCAUUGUUGGCUUCAUCUUUUACAGAAUGGAGUACAAGGAGCAGCAAAAGCCACUUUAAAUGUCUUACAUAUACAGAAAAUAUCUUACUUAUUACUGUCCAUAAUGCAGUUUGCUGAUUGCAAUGUGACAUUUAACCUGUUUUUGAUGUAUCAAGAAGUCCUAUAUUUUUAAUACAUUUCUACUGAAUGUAAUAUUUUGGUUUAAUUUUAAUAGAAAACUUAUAUUUCUAUUCUUUAGACCUAUUCAUACACUGCUAUUCCAAAUGGUUUUGCAACGCUUACUAUUACUUGCUUAUGAGUAUACAAACGGAUAAGUUAAUGUUUACUGAAAUAUAUUUUGAAAUGAUUAUGUUGGACAGCAAAUUAAAAUUUAAAGCUGAAUUGAUUCAAGCAUAAUGGAAUACAUUUUGUUAAUAUUGUUGUGAAUUGAGAUAUAUUUUCAUUUGCAUCAGUUUUAAGUUAAUUAAUAAUAUGUGUGCGUUCAACUGUAUUCUGUCUUUCACAAACUAUUUGAUAUUUUAUUCUUGUUUGCCAUUUUCUGCUUUUAAAGUUGCUGUAUGUCAGACUGUUAAUAUUAAAAACCUGUUAUUGAUUUGA